CUUUUCCUAAUAAAUAUCAUCUGAGUAAAAGCAAACCCAUAAAAUAUAUAGUAAUUGGCUCUCGAAUGUGAUAAUUCUUUUUGGGGUGAGUUAAUGUUUUUUUUCUUUUUUAUUUUUAGUUUUGGGUGAAUUGGUGGGGAUGACAGGCCUCUACUCGUAAGUAAAUCAGUGGGGAUGACGAACCCCUACCCAUAAAUGGAUGCAGCACAAGGACUUCCUGGGAAGUCACCCAUCCUAGUACUGCUCUUUUUCAGGAACAUUGUUCAACUGAAGGUCGGUUGGAGCUAUACAGAAUCCCAUUUCAGGGACCAAAACAUGAGUCAUGCUUCACAAGAAUUCAAUAAGGCGUUGAUAUAAGCUAGGAAUUUUUGGAAGCAAGAAUUAAACGUCCCACUUCCUUGUUUGAUUUCGCUGCAUGGAAGUCGCUGUGUGGAAGUGCAGCCUUCCAGACAAUAAUUUUUUUUAGCAUCAAAACUGAUCUGUAUUUGAAACGUCACCCUUCUGAAAUUGUUGGAAGAGCGGUCAUCCAUAAUUUGUGGGAGACUCCCUCCCACUCCAAAAGUCCAGGCAUCAAACACACCCUUAAUGAUGUAGUGGUUAUCACAUGUUCUACCUAAUGGAUUGGUUGUUAUGCACCAUUGUCUCU